CCUACGGGAGGCAGCAGUGAGGAAUAUUGGUCAAUGGACGAGAGUCUGAACCAGCCAAGUAGCGUGAAGGAUGACUGCCCUAUGGGUUGUAAACUUCUUUUAUAUGGGAAUAAAAUGUUCCACGUGUGGGAUUUUGUAUGUACCAUAUGAAUAAGGAUAGGCUAACUCCGUGCCAGCAGCCGCGGUAAUACGGAGGAUCCGAGCGUUAUCCGGAUUUAUUGGGUUUAAAGGGAGCGUAGGUGGAUUGUUAAGUCAGUUGUGAAAGUUUGCGGCUCAACCGUAAAAUUGCAGUUGAAACUGGCAGUCUUGAGUACAGUAGAGGUGGGCGGAAGUCGUGGUGUAGCGGUGAAAUGCUUAGAUAUCACGAAGAACUCCGAUUGCGAAGGCAGUUCACUGGACUGCAACUGACACUGAGGCUCGAAAGUGUGGGUAUCAAACAGGAUUAGAUACCCCAGUAGUC
rnacentral:rRNA from 1 species